GCCAGGGUAGCUCAGACUGGUCAGAGCGAGCGCUUCAUAAGCGUUAGGUCGUGGGUUCAAAUCCCACCCCU
rnacentral:tRNA from 1 species